rnacentral:rRNA from 1 species
GUGAGGAAUAUUGGUCAAUGGGCGGGAGCCUGAACCAGCCAAGUCGCGUGAAGGAAGAAGGAUCUAUGGUUCGUAAACUUCUUUUGCAGGGGAAUAAAGUGCAGGACGUGUCCUGUUUUGUAUGUACCCUGAGAAUAAGGAUCGGCUAACUCCGUGCCAGCAGCCGCGGUAAUACGGAGGAUCCGAGCGUUAUCCGGAUUUAUUGGGUUUAAAGGGUGCGUAGGUGGUUUGAUAAGUCAGCGGUGAAAGUUUGCAGCUUAACUGUAAAAAUGCCGUUGAAACUGUCGGACUUGAGUGUAAAUGAGGUAGGCGGAAUGCGUGGUGUAGCGGUGAAAUGCAUAGAUAUCACGCAGAACUCCGAUUGCGAAGGCAACUUACUAAGCUACAACUGACACUGAAGCACGAAAGCGUGGGGAUCAAACAGGAUUAGAUACCCUGGUAGUCC